AAAUUUGCAGAACAGUUGGUUGGGAGAGAGUUGAGAGAAGCUGUCAAGAGAGGGAUGAGAGACAGGUUGAUUAAAUUGAAGAGGGGAACUCGAAGCCCAACUAUUUGUCGUCGGGGGUUGAAAGGAGAAAUUUUGCAGAACUGUUGGUUGGGAGAGAGUUGAGAGAAGCUGUCGAGAGAGAGGAGAGAGUGGUUGAUUUGGAUUGAAGAGGGUGUGGGUUGGGUUGAUUUGUAUUUUUGAAAAAAUUAGAAAGUUUUGA
rnacentral:lncRNA from 1 species